GCCCCUGUAGUUUAAAGGAUAGAAUAUAAGAUUCCGGUUCUUAGGGUGGCGGUUCGAUUCCGCCCGGGGGUA
rnacentral:tRNA from 1 species